rnacentral:rRNA from 1 species
UACGUAGGGUGCAAGCGUUAUCCGGAAUUAUUGGGCGUAAAGAGCUCGUAGGCGGUUUGUCGCGUCUGCUGUGAAAACUGGAGGCUCAACCUCCAGCCUGCAGUGGGUACGGGCAGACUAGAGUGCGGUAGGGGAGACUGGAAUUCCUGGUGUAGCGGUGAAAUGCGUAGAGAUCAUGAGGAAGACCAGUGGCGAAGGCGGGUCUCUGGACAGUUCCUGACACUGAGGCACGAAGGCCAGGGGAGCAAACGGG